rnacentral:rRNA from 1 species
GAUGAACGCUGGCGGCGUGCCUAAUACAUGCAAGUAGAACGCUGAAGGAAGGAGCUUGCUCUUUCCGGAUGAGUUGCGAACGGGUGAGUAACGCGUAGGUAACCUGCCUGGUAGCGGGGGAUAACUAUUGGAAACGAUAGCUAAUACCGCAUAACAGUAGAUGUUGCAUGAUAUCUACUUAAAAGGUGCAAUUGCACCACUACCAGAUGGACCUGCGUUGUAUUAGCUAGUUGGUGAGGUAACGGCUCACCAAGGCGACGAUACAUAGCCGACCUGAGAGGGUGAUCGGCCACACUGGGACUGAGACACGGCCCAGACUCCUACGGGAGGCAGCAGUAUGGAAUCUUCGGCAAUGGACGGAAGUCUGACCGAGCAACGCCGCGUGAGUGAAGAAGGUUUUCGGAUCGUAAAGCUCUGUUGUAAGAGAAGAACGAGUGUGAGAGUGGAAAGUUCACACUGUGACGGUAUCUUACCAGAAAGGGACGGCUAACUACGUG